rnacentral:rRNA from 1 species
UACGCACUCCUACGGGAGGCAGCAGUGGGGAAUAUUGCACAAUGGGCGCAAGCCUGAUGCAGCCAUGCCGCGUGUAUGAAGAAGGCCUUCGGGUUGUAAAGUACUUUCAGCAGUGAGGAAGGUGGGUAUGUUAAUAGCAUAUUCAUUUGACGUUAGCUGCAGAAGAAGCACCGGCUAACUCCGUGCCAGCAGCCGCGGUAAUACGGAGGGUGCGAGCGUUAAUCGGAAUUACUGGGCGUAAAGCGCAUGCAGGUGGUUUGUUAAGUCAGAUGUGAAAGCCCGGGGCUCAACCUCGGAAUUGCAUUUGAAACUGGCAAACUAGAGUACUGUAGAGGGGGUAGAAUUUCAGGUGUAGCGGUGAAAUGCGUAGAGAUCUGAAGGAAUACCGGUGGCGAAGGCGGCCCCCUGGACAGAUACUGACACUCAGAUGCGAAAGCGUGGGGAGCAAACAGGAUUAGAUACCCUGGUAG